CGAGUCCGAGUCUCCACGGAGACGAAGUGGCGGUCAUCCAGCUUCCUAGAAAAGCUCUAACCACGUUAAUCUUUAGUUGCCUGUACCCGAAACCGACACAGGUAGGGGGGUAGAGAAUACCAAGGGGCGCGAGAUAACUCUCUCUAAGGAACUCGGCAAAAUGACCCCGUAACUUCGGGAGAAGGGGUACCACUGAGAAGUGGUCGCAGUGAAGAGGCCCAGGCGACUGUUUACCAAAAACACAGGUCUCCGCCAAGUCGCAAGACGAAGUAUGGGGGCUGACGCCUGCCCAGUGCCGGAAGGUUAAGGAAGUGGGUUAGGGAUUCGUCCCGAAGCUGACGACUGAAGCCCCGGUGAACGGCGGCCGUAACUAUAACGGUCCUAAGGUAGCGAAAUUCCUUGUCGGGUAAGUUCCGACCCGCACGAAAGGCGUAACGAUCUGGGCGCUGUCUCGGAGAGAGGCUCGGCGAAAUAGGAAUGUCUGUGAAGAUACGGACUACCUGCACCUGGACAGAAAGACCCUAUGAAGCUUUACUGUAGCUUGGAAUUGGGUUCGGGCUUGGUUUGCGCAGGAUAGGUGGGAGGCGAAGAAGAUUUGCUUGUGGGUGAAUCUGAGCCAACGGUGAGAUACCACUCUAACCAGGCUAGAAUUCUAACUUCAACCCGUCAACCGGGGGAAGGACAGUUUCAGGUGGGCAGUUUGACUGGGGCGGUCGCCUCCUAAAAGAUAACGGAGGCGCACAAAGGUUCCCUCAGGCUGGUUGGAAAUCAGCCAACGAGUGCAAAGGCAGAAGGGAGCUUGACUGCGAGACCUACAAGUCAAGCAGGGUGGAAACACGGUCUUAGUGAUCCGACGGCACCGAGUGGAAGGGCCGUCGCUCAACGGAUAAAAGUUACUCUAGGGAUAACAGGCUGAUCUCCCCCAAGAGUUCACAUCGACGGGGAGGUUUGGCACCUCGAUGUCGGCUCAUCGCAACCUGGGGCGGAAGUACGUCCCAAGGGUUGGGCUGUUCGCCCAUUAAAGCGGUACGUUGAGCUGGGUUCAGAACGUCGUGAGACAGUUCGGUCCAUAUCCGGUGUAGGCGCAAGAACAUUGAGAGGAGUCUUCCUUAGUACGAGAGGACCGGGAAGAACGCACCGCUGGUGUACCUGUUAUCGUGCCAACGGUAAACGCAGGGUAGCCAAGUGCGGAGUGGAUAACCGCUGAAAGCAUCUAAGUGGGAAGCCCACCUCAAGAUGAGUGUUCUCAUGGAGUAAUCCAGUAAGGUCACGGGAAGACGACCCGUUGAUAGGCGGUAGGUGGAAGUUCAGCAAUGGAUGAAGCCGAGCCGUACUAACAGACCGAGGGCUUGAC
rnacentral:rRNA from 1 species